AAAUAAAAAAUUUCUCGCAAAUCGGUUACAAUCUUUAUAUCCAAACAUAGAAUUAAACAUGUGUGUAACCUGAUCUAGUGAUUCUUCUUUUGCUUUUGAAUGUAUUACUUGUGUUUCCACAUGUCUUCUUAUAUUUACAAAUUAUAUGAAUAGACUUUAAAUAUACAUGCAUCAAUCAGUUAGACAACACAGAUUAGGACCCCAUACAAAGAAAAUAUGUUAUGUGCACUUACUUUUUGUAAUGUUUUGAUUGAUAAGUGUGUAUUGAUGUCUUUUUUAACAAUCACUAAAGUUUAAUUGAAAAAUUCGACCAAUUCUCAAUAUUUUCCCAUGUUUCCAACAACAACGAUACAAUACGCGAUGCAAUCGAUAUAUCCCAUGCGAUAACCGAUAUGUAUCUAUAUCCCAAGGGUGCAAUACAUAAAUGUGAUACCAAUAUUUCGAACACUGACGCAACCUAAAGUAACAAGAAGGGGUAACCAUUAAGUAUAAAAGUAGAGAAAGAGCUUCUAGAUUUUAAAUCAAGGUUGUGCUUGGUUAAACCAAUUUCAUGAUAUUCUGCACCAAAUUAGACUCAUUAAUAAUGGAAUUUAACAAAAUUUUAUAAUAUUUGGUGCAACCAAACGCAACCUAAAGUAACAAGAAAGGGCAACCAGUAAGUAUAAAAGUAGAAAAAGAGCAAUGAAAAUGAUUUAAUAUUGUUACUAAUAUUAUUAUUAUUAUACUAAUAACAUUGAAAAACUAAUUUGAGAGAGAGAGAGAGAGAGAGAGAGAGAGAGAGAGAGUAAUGUUGGAAGAGAGUUUGGAAUGAAAAUGUUGCAUCGGCUUGUAUUGGCUCAUGCGGGCCGAUGCCAUAGAGGCCCCAUUCUGAAAUUUUAUUUUCAAAAUUUCUCAUGUUUUUCCACUUUUCAUUUUAAUGAUAAAGGAAGCUUAGAAACUAAUUUAAGACUAGAUCUAGGCCUAUUAUGAGGGUCAAAACUCAAGAUUUGAGUGGGAUUUGAUGAAUUGAAGCAGAAUGAACCAUUUUGGGAAAUAUCAGAAGGGGUGGUGAUCCAAGUUUCUUUGUAGAUUUGUAGUGCUGAGGAGACCAUGCAAUGAGAUACUUAUGGGCAAAGGAGAGAAGGGAGAGAGCCUUUGAUUUUUAGAGUCUAUGAGUCCAAGAAAGGGGAGCCGUAAAAAAAAGGGGAGAAGAGCAUUUAGACUUCUACAAUGCGUCUAUACCUGUAUAUUUGUUUAUAUAAAUGUUUCGCUUCCCUGGGAAGGUAACUGAUUUCUCAGAGCUUCUAAAAAUAAGAUCCAUAAACUUGAAUUUAUUAUCAAAUGAGCUGAUUGGAUGCA